UGGGGAAUAUUGCACAAUGGGCGAAAGCCUGAUGCAGCGACGCCGCGUGAGGGAUGACGGCCUUCGGGUUGUAAACCUCUUUCAGCAGGGACGAAGCGCAAGUGACGGUACCUGCAGAAGAAGCACCGGCUAACUACGUGCCAGCAGCCGCGGUAAUACGUAGGGUGCAAGCGUUGUCCGGAAUUACUGGGCGUAAAGAGUUCGUAGGCGGUUUGUCGCGUCGUUUGUGAAAACCAGCAGCUCAACUGCUGGCUUGCAGGCGAUACGGGCAGACUUGAGUACUGCAGGGGAGACUGGAAUUCCUGGUGUAGCGGUGAAAUGCGCAGAUAUCAGGAGGAACACCGGUGGAGAAGGCGGGUCUCUGGGCAGUAACUGACGCUGAGGAACGAAAGCGUGGGUAGCGAACAGG
rnacentral:rRNA from 2 species